rnacentral:miRNA from 1 species
UAGGAAAUGGGUCCCUGAUGUGU